rnacentral:sRNA from 1 species
CGGUGUCGACGAGCCCCGGAGUGAUGAAGUGGACGUGGACGUCGAUCCCACCCGCGGUGAGGAUCUUGCCGUUCCCGGCGAUGAUCUCCGUGGACGGCCCGAUGGGGAAGUCCACGCCGUCCAUGGUGUCCGGGUUGCCCGCCUUGCCGAUCCCGGUGAUGCGCCCGUCGGUGAUGCCGACGUCCGCCUUGACGACGCCCCAGUGGUCCAGGACCACCGCGCCGGUGAUGACCAGGUCGGGGGCGCCCUCGGCCGAGGUCACCGUGGACUGACCCAUGGACUCG